rnacentral:lncRNA from 1 species
UUUUGCCUCUGUCAUCAUUAAAGGAAAUGAAAGGGAGGCAACUGAGAGACUCCCUUGUAUGACCACAGGAAAAAUAAGAGGAUGAAUGAUUAUGGCAAAGUGUCAGUCAAAAGGAUUUAUCUCCAAAGGUCAAGUUCAUUGAUUGGCUACGAUUUCAGGUGGCAUUUUCUGCAUGUAGGAUGGGUGGCUUCUUUCAGACUGCCCAAAUCACAAAAUGUGAGUGUAGUUGAAAUAUUCUUUGACACACAACAGGAAAUAAGAUGUACACUCUAACACUGCAAUAAAGAUUUGAAAAUAAAAGAGAGAAUUCUCGAAGGUGAGAUGGGAACCAAUGCACUAAUGAACGUGAAGGAACCACAGGAUGUUAUGAAAUCAAAGAACAUGAAACCAAAAUUCUGUUAUUAAAUAUUUUCUUGAAAAGCAAAUUAAUUGUUAUAUAUUUUGAAUUCUCCCUGCUAGUCUGCUGGGAUUUGACAAUAUUGUUACUCUGUUAUUUCAAUGGUUUUUCUGGUUUUCAGUUAGUUCUUUUUUUUUUUUUUUUUUUUUUAAUUUGGAAGUUAAUAUAAAUUGAAAAGAAAUAUACCUACCUGGACUGCUCUUCUCCUGAAGGGGUCACUGUGCUCAACAUGUGUGUGAUUACUUCAGCUGCUCCAGACAUUCAGAAAAAGUUGUACAAGAUAACCAUAGGACCACAAUUUUCCCAGACCCAGCUGUGGGGAAAGCUUGGACAGUUUUGAACAGUUACUGAGCAACAGUUAUGAACUAUUUGGAAAACUGCCCAAGGGCUUCAGAGCAUUCUAGAAGCUCCAGGCCAUUUCUGUUGCUGGCUAGCAAAGGCUAAUCAACUAUCAGGGCCUCCUAGUAGAUUCUCCCAAUUUAGUUUUCUGCCUGUGUCCCCAUUGUCCCCCCGGCCCGCUGUUUCCUGACCCUACACAGUCCAGUGCUAUUAUUCAUCGUAGUGAGGAAACUUUCCAUUCAGUCUGCUCUAGGGCCUUGAAGCAAACCAGCUCUAUGAAGAAGAAAUGACAGCCAGGAUGCCCAAUUGCCACGAGAAAGGGAUUUUCCAUACCUAUAUUUCAUGUGGUCAUUAUAUGCUAAAUAAGUAGGUGAGUAUUUAGCCCAGUCAUCUUCCUGUUGAUAAAGGCAUAUGUCUGUCUGCUUCUCUUAGCAUUUUCUGUGGUGUCUGUCUUCAGUGGCAGGAAUCUUGACUUGUGAAGUGUCCCCUACUCUAAUUACUGGGGACACUAAUGUAGAUGGC